GGUGAGAGCCCGGAGUGCCGAAAGGAAUGCGGAGACAGGUGCUGCAUGGCUGUCGUCAGCUCGUGUUGUGAGAUGUUGGGUUAAGUCCCGUAACGAGCGCAACCCUUGUUCUUAGUUACUAACGAGUUAUGUCGAGGACUCUAAGAAGACUGCCGGUGUUGAACCGGAGGAAGGCGGGGACGACGUCAAGUCAUCAUGGCCUUUAUGGGUAGGGCUACACACGUGCUACAAUGGGACGUACAGAGAGUCGCCAACCCGCGAGGGGGAGCUAAUCUCAGAAAGCGUCUCGUAGUCCGGAUUGGAGUCUGCAACUCGACUCCAUGAAGUUGGAAUCGCUAGUAAUCGCGAAUCAGCAUUGUCGCGGUGAAUACGUUCCCGGGCCUUGUACACACCGCCCGUCACGUCACGAAAGCCGG
rnacentral:rRNA from 1 species